GUGGGGAACAGCUGAAUCAGCCAAACUCAGAUUGACAAGAGGCAAACUCAAGCUGCAGUGUUUGCACUCCUAAGUCUUCCCUCCUUGGCCUAUGAUCAACAUGAAGGCAGAUUCGGUUUUUCUUCGCUCACCACCCAUUGGUCAGUGGGGUUCUUUUAGACACACUGAGACAUUCCCUACCGUGACUGUGAUGGGCUGAACCAGAGGUGCACCUGGUCCAAUAUUCAUCUCACAAGUGGCUAUGAACAGAUGCUAGGGAACUGCAGAGAAGGCAUAUAUGGAACUUCUUGCAAGUGCGUGCCUAGCUUCCAAUUAUUUUUAGCAGAGAAUUUCCACAGCUGGACGUGGCUGCUGUCUGCUUCCUAAGCCUCCUUGGGCUUAUUUUCCAACUACUUGUCCAUUUUUUCUUUGACUCCAAGUUAUUAUUAUUAUUAAUAUUAUUAUUAUUUUAAUCGAGCCUCCUUUAGUCGUAAAUACUGUAAGUCUACCGGGGCUGUUUGGAGAUCCACCUCCUC
rnacentral:lncRNA from 1 species